rnacentral:misc_RNA from 1 species
AAACCAUCAAGCCCAGCUUGGUCUUGGACGCGGUUGAGUGACCCGUCCGUAACCCGUUGGCAGUGCAGUCCGGCUUCAAGCGUAGCAAGAAUUUCGCUUCAGAAGUCCGCGGCGGCGCCCGCCAGAUAACCACAUCCCAAA